rnacentral:rRNA from 1 species
CCUACGGGAGGCAGCAGUGAGGAAUAUUGGUCAAUGGACGAGAGUCUGAACCAGCCAAGUAGCGUGAAGGAUGACUGCCAUAUGGGUUGUAAACUUCUUUUAUAUGGGAAUAAAAUGUUCCACGUGUGGGAUUUUGUAUGUACCAUAUGAAUAAGGAUCGGCUAACUCCGUGCCAGCAGCCGCGGUAAUACGGAGGAUCCGAGCGUUAUCCGGAUUUAUUGGGUUUAAAGGGAGCGUAGGUGGAUUGUUAAGUCAGUUGUGAAAGUUUGCGGCUCAACCGUAAAAUUGCAGUUGAAACUGGCAGUCUUGAGUACAGUAGAGGUGGGCGGAAUUCGUGGUGUAGCGGUGAAAUGCUUAGAUAUCACGAAGAACUCCGAUUGCGAAGGCAGUUCACUGGACUGCAACUGACACUGAGGCUCGAAAGUGUGGGUAUCAAACAGGAUUAGAUACCCGAGUAGUC